UACAGAGGUCUCAAGCGUUGUUCGGAUUCAUUGGGCGUAAAGGGUGUGUAGGUGGCGCCGUAAGUCGGGUGUGAAAUUUCGGAGCUUAACUCCGAAACUGCAUUCGAUACUGCGGUGCUUGAGGACUGGAGAGGAGACUGGAAUUCAUGGUGUAGCAGUGAAAUGCGUAGAUAUUGGGAAGAACACCGGUGGCGAAGGCGGCUAUCUGGACCGACAUUGACGCUGAUGCGCGAAAGCGUGGGGAGCAAACAGG
rnacentral:rRNA from 1 species